rnacentral:rRNA from 1 species
UACGUAGGGGGCUAGCGUUGUCCGGAUUUAUUGGGCGUAAAGAGCGUGUAGGCGGCCAGGUAGGUCUGGUGUGAAAACUCGAGGCUUAACCUCGAGAUGUCAUCGGAAACCAUCUGGCUAGAGUCCGGAAGAGGAGAGUGGAACUCCUGGUGUAGCGGUGAAAUGCGCAGAUAUCGGGAGGAACACCAAUGGCGAAGGCAGCUCGCUGGGACGUUACUGACGCUGAGACGCGAAAGCGUGGGGAGCAAACAGG